UUCAUUUCAGUGCUGCACUUCGAACACAGGACAUGAAAACGGAGGUGCGAUUAAUGCUCAUUAUCCUCAGGUUGAAUGCAAUCAUCCCAGAGCUCCUGGCCAAUGAACAGAUAGUACAGUCUCCCCUGGCACUGGAAGCUGCAGAAGGUUCCACAGUGACAAUGCACUGCAGCACCAGUGCCUUGCUCAGCUUCGUGAAGUGGUAUCAGUGGCGGUGUGGACGGGAUCUGAAGCUUCUAAUCGUCGCCUCCAGCAGCAUGGUCACAGCAGGGAAGGUUCAGGCCACUCUUCACCGGGAACAGAAACGCAGCACCUUGACCAUCAGCGACAUCGGCAGGGAUGAUGCUGCCAUCUACCUCUGCGGGGUGAUCACCACCAUGAUACAAUCCCAUGAGUAUGCAGUACAGAAACCCCAGGGAGACAAGAGCUAUAUCGACAGCCUCACAAUCUCAAGGUUAUGGAGUAGCAGUAGUACGUACUUCAAAUAUUUUGAGUGGUUCUGAGCUGAUCCAUAACAAAAUAUCACUGAAAUCUUACUCAAUGUGAAUCAGGAGUGCAUGCAUUUUCUAAACAACAUUUAUCAGACAUGUUGCACAAACAUCUAGACUAGGUGAGGCCAGAAACUAUUUGAGCCAAAGGGCGUGAUACUGCCAGUGCACACAACUGACCAUAAUUGGUUGAAAAUGUGGAGCUCCUGUGUGCAAUCUGGAAUAUGUGACGAUGCUAUGGCUCUUAGGGGUUACUUUGUCCCGGUAUCUUUUAAGACAGAAACAAAACAAGAGACUAAACAAGAGGCGCAGAGCUGGCUAGUGAAGACCAACUUGGGCGGCCUUGGCAUUGUUUUAUGGCCUUAAUAGAAUGUUGCCUGUUCUUACAGGUCAGGAUUUCUGGGGUUUGGAUUUUUCAGUAGCAUCAGAAGCUGUUGGAGUCCCAGCAGAGUUGAAAACUUCAGCAGAUGUCUCCUCACUGCUCCUCUCCGAAUUUUCUCUUGAUAACUUUUUCCACUUGGGUUGGAGAACUCCAUUUGGUAAUCUGUGUCUGACAUGACCGUUUUGCUAAGGAGAACAUGUACGCGAUGUUACUACACUGGAACAGUUAAUUAGGAACAGUCAAUGUGUGCAUUAUUCUGUGAGUUUUCUUCUGGAGUCAAUUCAUUCAAAAAUGCUUCUUUUUUUGUU